rnacentral:rRNA from 1 species
GACGUAGGGCGCGAGCGUUGUCCGGAUUUACUGGGCGUAAAGAGCGCGCAGGCGGUCGGAUAAGUCGAAUGUGAAAGCCCCCGGCUCAACUGGGGAGGGUCAUUCGAUACUGUUCGACUCGAAGGCAGGAGAGGGAAGUGGAAUUCCCGGUGUAGUGGUGAAAUGCGUAGAUAUCGAGAGGAACACCUGCGGCGAAGGCGGGUUGCUGGGCUGACACUGACGCUGAUGCGCGAAAGCCAGGGGAGCGAACGGG